CAGUCGCCACGGUAAUACGGAGGGUGCAAGCGUUAAUCGGAAUUACUGGGCGUAAAGCGCACGCAGGCGGUCUGUCAAGUCUGAUGUGAAAUCCCCGGGCUUAACCUGGGAACUGCAUUUGAAACUGGCAGGCUAGAGUCUUGUAGAGGGGGGUAGAAUUCCAGGUGUAGCGGUGAAAUGCGUAGAGAUCUGGAGGAAUACCGGUGGCGAAGGCGGCCCCCUGGACAAAGACUGACGCUCAGGUGCGAAAGCGUGGGGAGCAAACAAGAUUAGAUACCCCGGUAGUCCCUGUCUCUUAUAC
rnacentral:rRNA from 1 species